GUCACAAUCGACUCCGCUAUUGCCACUAAGAAAUACAACGUUGCUGUCAAAUGCGCCACUAUUACACCUGACGAAGCUAGGGUCGAAGAGUUCAAACUGAAGAAAAUGUGGAAGAGUCCUAAUGGAACCAUCAGGAACAUUCUGGGCGGCACUGUCUUCCGUGAGCCAAUCAUCUGCAAGAACAUUCCCAGACUUGUUCCUGGUUGGACACAGGCCAUCACCAUUGGCAGACAU
rnacentral:misc_RNA from 1 species